GUAGGGAAUAUUGCGCAAUGGACGAAAGUCUGACGCAGCGACGCCGCGUGAGAGAUGAAGGCCUUAGGGUCGUAAAGCUCUGUUGAAUGGGAAGAAAAAAAUGACGGUACCAUUCGAGGAAGGACCGGCUAACUUCGUGCCAGCAGCCGCGGUAAUACGAGGGGUCCUAGCGUUGUUCGGAAUCAUUGGGCGUAAAGGGUGUGUAGGUGGCCAUGUAAGUCAGGUGUGAAAGCCCCGGGCUCAACCCGGGAAGUGCACUUGAUACUGCGUGGCUUGAGUACCGAAGAGGGUAGUGGAAUUCCAGGUGUAGUGGUGAAAUACGUAGAUAUCUGGAGGAACACCGGUGGCGAAGGCGGCUACCUGGUCGAGUACUGACACUGAGACACGAAAGCAUGGGGAUCAAACAGGAUUAGAAACCCGUGUAGUCC
rnacentral:rRNA from 1 species